rnacentral:rRNA from 1 species
UACGAAGGGGGGCUAGCGUUGCUCGGAAUCACUGGGCGUAAAGGGUGCGUAGGCGGGUCUUAAGUCAGGGGUGAAAUCCUGGAGCUCAACUCCAGAACUGCCUUUGAUACUGAGGAUCUUGAGUUCGGGGAGAGGUGAGUGGAACUGCGAGUGUAGAGGUGAAAUUAUAGAUAUUCGCAAGAACACCAGUGGCGAAGGCGGCUCACUGGCCCGAUACUGACGCUGAGGCACGAAAGCGUGGGGAGCAAACAGG